rnacentral:rRNA from 1 species
CUGGCUCAGGACGAACGCUGGCGGCGUGCUUAACACAUGCAAGUCGAACGAUGAACCGGUUUCGGCCGGGGAUUAGUGGCGAACGGGUGAGUAACACGUGGGCAAUCUGCCCUGCACUCUGGGACAAGCCCUGGAAACGGGGUCUAAUACCGGAUAUGACACGCUCCCGCAUGGGAUGCGUGUGGAAAGCUCCGGCGGUGCAGGAUGAGCCCGCGGCCUAUCAGCUUGUUGGUGGGGUGAUGGCCUACCAAGGCGACGACGGGUAGCCGGCCUGAGAGGGCGACCGGCCACACUGGGACUGAGACACGGCCCAGACUCCUACGGGAGGCAGCAGUGGGGAAUAUUGCACAAUGGGCGAAAGCCUGAUGCAGCGACGCCGCGUGAGGGAUGACGGCCUUCGGGUUGUAAACCUCUUUCAGCAGGGAAGAAGCGAGAGUGACGGUACCUGCAGAAGAAGCGCCGGCUAACUACGUGCCAGCAGCCGCGGUAAUACGUAGGGCGCAAGCGUUGUCCGGAAUUAUUGGGCGUAAAGAGCUCGUAGGCGGCUUGUCGCGUCGGAUGUGAAAGCCCGGGGCUUAACCCCGGGUCUGCAUUCGAUACGGGCAGGCUAGAGUUCGGUAGGGGAGAUCGGAAUUCCUGGUGUAGCGGUGAAAUGCGCAGAUAUCAGGAGGAACACCGGUGGCGAAGGCGGAUCUCUGGGCCGAUACUGACGCUGAGGAGCGAAAGCGUGGGGAGCGAACAGGAUUAGAUACCCUGGUAGUCCACGCCGUAAACGUUGGGAACUAGGUGUGGGCGACAUUCCACGUCGUCCGCGCCGCAGCUAACG